GCGGCGUGCUUAACACAUGCAAGUCGAACGGUGAACACGGAGCUUGCUCUGUGGGAUCAGUGGCGAACGGGUGAGUAACACGUGAGCAACCUGCCCCUGACUCUGGGAUAAGCGCUGGAAACGGCGUCUAAUACUGGAUAUGUGACGUGACCGCAUGGUCUGCGUCUGGAAAGAAUUUCGGUUGGGGAUGGGCUCGCGGCCUAUCAGCUUGUUGGUGAGGUAAUGGCUCACCAAGGCGUCGACGGGUAGCCGGCCUGAGAGGGUGACCGGCCACACUGGGACUGAGACACGGCCCAGACUCCUACGGGAGGCAGCAGUGGGGAAUAUUGCACAAUGGGCGCAAGCCUGAUGCAGCAACGCCGCGUGAGGGACGACGGCCUUCGGGUUGUAAACCUCUUUUAGCAGGGAAGAAGCGAAAGUGACGGUACCUGCAGAAAAAGCGCCGGCUAACUACGUGCCAGCAGCCGCGGUAAUACGUAGGGCGCAAGCGUUAUCCGGAAUUAUUGGGCGUAAAGAGCUCGUAGGCGGUUUGUCGCGUCUGCUGUGAAAUCCGGAGGCUCAACCUCCGGCCUGCAGUGGGUACGGGCAGACUAGAGUGCGGUAGGGGAGAUUGGAAUUCCUGGUGUAGCGGUGGAAUGCGCAGAUAUCAGGAGGAACACCGAUGGCGAAGGCAGAUCUCUGGGCCGUAACUGACGCUGAGGAGCGAAAGGGUGGGGAGCAAACAGGCUUAGAUACCCUGGUAGUCCACCCCGUAAACGUUGGGAACUAGUUGUGGGGUCCAUUCCACGGAUUCCGUGACGCAGCUAACGCAUUAAGUUCCCCGCCUGGGGAGUACGGCCGCAAGGCUAAAACUCAAAGGAAUUGACGGGGACCCGCACAAGCGGCGGAGCAUGCGGAUUAAUUCGAUGCAACGCGAAGAACCUUACCAAGGCUUGACAUAUACGAGAACGGGCCAGAAAUGGUCAACUCUU
rnacentral:rRNA from 1 species